rnacentral:rRNA from 1 species
AUUGAACGCUGGCGGCAGGCCUAACACAUGCAAGUCGAACGAGUGGCGGACGGGUGAGUAAUGUCUGGGAAACUGCCUGAUGGAGGGGGAUAACUACUGGAAACGGUAGCUAAUACCGCAUACCAUCAGAUGUGCCCAGAUGGGAUUAGCUAGUUGGUGGGGUAACGGCUCACCAAGGCGACGAUCCCUAGCUGGUCUGAGAGGAUGACCAGCCACACUGGAACUGAGACACGGUCCAGACUCCUCCGUGAGGCAGCAGUGGGGAAUAUUGCACAAUGGGCGCAAGCCUGAUGCAGACAUGCAGCGUGGAUGAAGAAGGCCUUCGGGUUGUAAAGUACUUUCAGCGGGGAGGCGUUACCCGCAGAAGAAGCACCGGCUAACUCCGUGCCAGCAGCCGCGGUAAUUC